GUGCUACUCUCUCCGUUUCAAAUUACUUGACUCUCACUUGUUUAGAUAUGAAUGUAUCUAUACUUGUUUAGUGUCUAGAUAUAUCUAUAUCUAAACAAAUGAAAGUCAAGUAAUUUGAAACAGAGGGAGUAGCUA
rfam:Triticum aestivum genome assembly, contig: Triticum_aestivum_CS42_TGACv1_scaffold_606563_7DL